GAAAUGCGAUACGUAGUGUGAAUUGCAGAAUUCAGUGAAUCAUCGAAACCUUGAACGCACCUUGCGCUUGUGGUCACCCACAAGCAUGCCUGUUUGAGUGUCGUUUAUCAUUCCUCAAUCCGAGAGAGGACCACUCCUCUCUCGCGUUGGAGCUGAGCGUUUGCCCUCCAACCGGGGGCAAUCGCUUGAAAAGAAGGGGGACUCUAAGGGCAUUGAAACUCUGGCGUUCAAAAGCUCCUGCAGUCCGUGGACGUCUUUAGCAUGUUUUACCAUGAUUUCACGCCCGCGCUGCAACCUUAUGGGGCUUCUGGGCCGUUCUUCAGGCAUCCUGGUC
rnacentral:misc_RNA from 1 species